rnacentral:rRNA from 1 species
GACGAACGCUGGCGGCGUGCUUAACACAUGCAAGUCGAACGGAAAGGCCUCUUUCGUGGGGUACUCGAGUGGCGAACGGGUGAGUAACACAUGAGUAACCUGCCCUUUACUUUGGGAUAACUUCAGGAGACUGGGGCUAAUACCCGAUAGAGGCUCCUGCUGCAUGUUGUGGGGGUUAGAGUUUCGGCGGUGGGGGAGAGGGUCGCGGCUUAUCUGCUUGUUUGUGGGGGAGUGGAUUACCAAGGCUUUGUCGGGUAGCCGGCCUGGGAGGGUGACCGGCCACAUUGGGACUGGGAUAAGGCCCAGACUCCCAAGGGAGGCAGGCGUGGGGAAUAUUGCACAAUGGGUGGAAGCCUGAUGCAGCAAAGCCGUGUGCGGGAUGACGGCCUUCGGGUUGUAAACCGCUUUCGCUCAUGACGAAGCUUUGUGUGACGGUAGUGGGUAAAGAAGCACCGGCUAACUACGUG